rnacentral:rRNA from 1 species
CCUACGGGUGGCUGCAGUGGGGAAUAUUGGACAAUGGGCGAAAGCCUGAUCCAGCCAUGCCGCGUGUGUGAAGAAGGCCUUCGGGUUGUAAAGCACUUUCAGUGGGGAAGAAAGCCUUGGGGCUAAUACCCUCGAGGAAGGACAUCACCCACAGAAGAAGCACCGGCUAACUCCGUGCCAGCAGCCGCGGUAAUACGGAGGGUGCGAGCGUUAAUCGGAAUUACUGGGCGUAAAGCGCGCGUAGGCGGUCUGAUAAGCCGGUUGUGAAAGCCCCGGGCUCAACCUGGGAACGGCAUCCGGAACUGUCAGGCUAGAGUGCAGGAGAGGAAGGUAGAAUUCCCGGUGUAGCGGUGAAAUGCGUAGAGAUCGGGAGGAAUACCAGUGGCGAAGGCGGCCUUCUGGAAUGACACUGACGCUGAGGUGCGAAAGCGUGGGUAGCAAACAGGAUUAGAUACCCGAGUAGUC